AAAGUUUCCAGGAGCAGCUAACCAGUACCCAUCGGACAGACACCCUCCUUGCAUAUUCCGGGAGCCCUGGAGCCUGUGACUGUGAGAUAAGGGGGGGCCCGGAAUCCCGCUCCACCCACAGGUCAGCCAGGGACAGCUACUCGCCAGGAGUCCUUGGUGUCUGGAAUCCAGGGCUGACUUUGCAAGAUGGGGGUUGCAGCUCAUUCUAAUCUGCCACAUCAGCGACUGUCUCCAUCAGUACCAGCC